UACGAAGGGUGCAAACGUUGCUCGGAAUUAUUGGGCGUAAAGCGCACGUAGGCGGCUUUGCAAGUCGGAUGUGAAAUCCCUCGGCUUAACCAAGGAAGUGCAUCCGAAACUGCAGAGCUUGAGUACGAAAGAGGAUCGCGGAAUUCCCGGUGUAGAGGUGAAAUUCGUAGAUAUCGGGAGGAACACCGUGGCGAGGACGGCGAUCUGGUGCGAUACUGACGCUGAGGUGCGAAAGCGUGGGGGAGCAAACAGG
rnacentral:rRNA from 1 species